GUAGCAUUCACGGAAUGGCCAAAGUCCCUCACAUUGACCAUAUGUGAAUGACAACAUCUUACAUUCACUAUCGCAUUUGUCACAUGAAUCAACAUAGUGUUUAUAGCUGCAUAAAGUCCCCAACGACACUCCUUCUGAGGCAUCUUAAACCCAUAAAAGAAAAGAACAAAAUUGUGAAUACUUUGUUAGACAAGUACUCUCAAUAAAUCAGAUGUUUUCGGUUGCACUCGUUGUCGUUAAGCUCUAGUUACCUUGAAUUGAGAUGAUUGGCUGCUGGAUGAACGGUCCAUAUCGUCUAGAUGGUGCCUCAUUAGUAGCCAAAACAUUUUAUCCUCUGUAAGAGGCAUCAGGUCGUGCUUUUCGACUAUCUCAGCUUUGGUUACAUCUACUCAAUUGUAAUGUUAAUGUUAUAGAGCAAUGAUAUAUGAUGAUAGAUAUCAAACAAUAUCGUAUAUUUUAUGUUUUGUGCUACAUAUUGUGAAUAUCUUUAUCUAAUGUUUUUAUUCAAUUCCGAUCUUUUGCAAGUUAAAUAUAUAUGCUUUAUCACCAUCAAUAUACAAAAAUACAUAGGAAUAAUUAAGAAAUUAAUAUAAGAAAAAUGGUACCUAUUGCAGGAGAUAGAACACUGAAAACAAUUGUGAAAAUUAAAGCAAGAGUCACCAUAUCCUUAGCCAUAAUCUGAUAUCUCUGUUUAGGUCUUGCUUGAUCUUGUUGGAACCAACCAGCUCUAAAGGUUAAUAUUAAUACUGAAAAGGAAAAUGGAAACAAAAAUGUGGACACACACAUAUAUAGAGAAAAACAAAAUAGAAGAUAAGAGAGGCUUACACUGGCCACAAGUGCUUACUGCUUUUGGCUCUUCAUUUCAGCAUCACACAAAAGUUGGUUACUUUGCA
rnacentral:lncRNA from 1 species